UACAUGUGUAAAUGUGUAAGUCACAUACAGUAUCCAGUUACAGAAAGUUAUGUUAAACAUUAAGAAACAAAAUAAAAUAGUAAAUCUAUAAUUUAUUUAUUUAUUUGCUUGUUUCACUGAAUAUGGUUUUCCAUUUCUUACAUGGCUCUUGUACAUGGUUAAAAUGGAAGAUGUCUGGAUACAUUUUUAGGCAUUCAAAGCACAGGAUUUCAACGAAACUAAACUAAAAUCAGUUCUUAUAAAGUAAAGCCUUUACAAGAACAUAGGGGAGCAGUCAACAACAUUUCACGGGUGAAGAUAUGCACACUAACUUUAUGUUUAUUGCACAAAAGGGGGAGUGGACCAUGGUAAAGUGAAAACUGCAUCCAGGAAAAAAAAUAACUACAAUGUUUUUGCAAGCAUCUGCGCAAAUUAACACAAAGCUAGCCAAGAACCCAGAGUGAUGGAGCUGCCAGAUCCCUUUGUAUUUCUACAGCAGAAUUGAUGUUGCAAUCACUUUGAAGUCUCUUUGGGCUGGUUUCCAUCUUUUCUUGUUGUUGUCGGUUUUGUGAAAGAGUGUUUUAUAAUUAGGAUAGGGAUUUGUGUUGGUGUGUGGGACUUUAGCCUAAAGUCUAUAUUCUUAAUUGGUAAUUAUGAGACAUUGCAUUUCAGGUCAUUUUACUGAUGAUGAGAAAGUAAUGUAACAAGUAGUGUAACAAAUUACUUUCUCUGGCGAUGAACAUACUGCAUUCAUUUUUUUUUUUUUUUAAAUGUGUAAUACAUAAUACAUAAUACUUUCUUUGUAACGAUCCCUACACUGAAAAGUAUACAUUGUUCUAAGCUUGGAAAUGACUCAGGAGUUUUGACUGUCAUCUUCCAACUUACAAUUACUGAAAACAAAACAAUAAAUAUCUAAGAGCGCUUAUUAAAAAUACUAAAGCCGAAAUCAUCAUCAUGUCAGUUAUCUUUCAAUAGAAAAAAAAACUCAAUUCAAGCUCAAGAUUUUUUGCAAGAUUGUUCUAUUACCUGUCACACUUUCCUCACUUUGACAUGAUUUAGAUCAUUUUAGACAUUUUACUAACAACGUCAACAAAAAUGUUUCACUGUGUUUCAGUGUGCAUUCAGCAUGCUGUAUAUCAUGUCUUGUGAAUCUGGUGGAUCUGUUUCUUCAGAGAUGGUGGCGUACACAUGGUAAAUGUCAGACUAGAAGAGAAAGAGUAAUGACCUUUUAGUCAGUAGCAUUGAUUAAGAAGCGGACAUAUUUAUUACUACACCAGGGUUAACUUACAUCUUCAUUUUUUGUCUGUUCCAAGUUUAGUUUCUCUCCUGAAAGAGAACAACACGGAAAAAUUAUUGCUUUCAAUCAGGAUUAAAACACACACACACACACACGCAUACACACAAGUGUAAGACAACAUAUAGUCCAGUGGGUUCACAA
rnacentral:lncRNA from 1 species